GAUGAACGCUGACAGAAUGCUUAACACAUGCAAGUCUUUGGCGAAGCUGUGCUUGCACAGCCUAGCCAAGGCGGACGGGUGAGUAACGCGUAAGGAACUUGCCCUGCAGUCAGGGAUAACAGACGGAAACGACUGAUAAGACCUGGUAAAGUCAGGCGGACUCAUGUCCAGCCUGAUGAAAAGAGAUGCUGCAGGAGAGCCUUGCGUCCUAUUAGCUUGUUGGUGGGGUAACGGCCCACCAAGGCGAUGAUAGGUAGCCGGCCUGAGAGGGUGGACGGCCACAAGGGGACUGAGAUACGGCCCUUACUCCUACGGGAGGCAGCAGUGGGGAAUAUUGGACAAUGGGGGCAACCCUGAUCCAGCAAAUCUGUGUGCACGAUGAAGGUUUUCGGAUUGUAAAGUGCUUUCAGCAGGGAGGAAAAAAAUGACGGUACCUGCAGAAGAAGCGACGGCUAAAUACGUG
rnacentral:rRNA from 1 species